rnacentral:lncRNA from 1 species
AUGAUACUGAGGUACUAGGGAGCUGUGAAGCAUAUGCUGUGAGACAACACAGCUGAGCAGCCCAGCCAGAGCCCCCUGGAGAAGCCGUCAGAGGUCAGCAGCUCCCGUCUCCUUCCCUCUUGACUCCUAAUAGUCUGGGACAGAACUUUGCCCUCCCUUCUUCCUGUCCCAAAGAUGCACAAUGAUAAUGAUGCUGAUGGUUAUUUAGUAAGAAACUUCCCAACAGGAACAGUCAUCAGGAGGGGGCACAGUUGGAUUCUCUCCAGUGAAGAUGUCAGGAUGGACAGAAAUGUCAGCGUAAUCGAAAGAGGACACAAACACCCCUGCUAUUUUCUUGUCACCAGGAAAAGGCCAGCUCUAGGUCUACUGGGGUUCAUCCCAUCUGAGCCAGGCCUGGCUUUUCUUGGCUGCAAGCUGAGAGCUGGGUCCAGGUCUGCUGAACCAAGGUUCUCCCAUCUUCCUUGAGCCAGUGACAAUCAGAGGCCUAUUUCUUUCAUGAUGGAAGGCAGGAGAACAAGCAGCUCCCGGCUCACCCACCCAGCAGCUCAGCACCUGCGAAAUCUGUCUCCCGAUGCACACUUGCUAACCGCGUGGGUGUGAGCACAACGAUGGGAAACAGCGGAAGUCCCCGGAGUGCAGACUCAGGAGUGAACCUGCCUGAAGAGUGGCGUCUAACGCACACGCUGUGGUCAGCUCCACCCCACUCUGGGUCCCGGGAGUAGGAACAAGUGCGUAUUUUGCUUGCAGGGCAGGUGUUUCAUCCACAUUAUUGCAGGAACAGAUGAAUUUAAUUAAAAGAACACCACAGUGGGCACCUCUUCCAGGGAUGCCUCCCUCUAAGAACAUGACACUGAGAUGAUCAAGGUUCUAAAAGGGCGAUCAAAUUACUCUCCGAAAAUGAAACUGCUCAGACAGAAUGACAAUUAAAUUAAUAACAACCAAGACAAUGCCCAGAUUUCAUCUCAGCUCACAGCCCCUCCUGUGUGCUGUAUGAUCAGGUUCUUGGGGGUGGCUCCAGAUACAGCAAACAGUCAGGAUUAAUCCACAAGAGUGAGCUGUCAGCAUGAGGUUCCCCUACAGUGGAGCUUGCCAAGGUCCGUGGCUCCCAGGGCACCCGUUCCAGGGCUAACAGAUGAAGCAUGGAAACGCUGUGUGGAGUGAGCUAAGCAGCCGUUCUCAGGAGAAAACAGACAAAUCCUCCUGCACCCUGGCUCACCAGCUUUGUGGCCUGUUUUAUGUCAUCUUUGCUGAGCUCCACCGGGUCACCCCUCCUGCUGGCUUUGUGAUACUGACAUUUCAGGCACUGGCACAGAUACAUUGGCCUUCCUGGCUGGGAUUUCACGGACGGAGUGAGCAGUGCUGGCUUGGAGGAGCCGUGGCGGCACAGGGCCUGUGCUCUCAGCUGAUCAGCGCCUGUCCUGACCCCAAAGGGCCCUCGCAGCACUGUUUGAAAUUGCUCUUGCCAUGUUUGGAACCGAUUCCUCAGUACGUUUCAGACUCAUUGUUGUGACUUUGGUUUCAAUCCAGGGACACACCGUGGCCAAUGGAGUGUCUCAACAGCAUCUAUGAUCGCUGUUUCCCAGAGACAGCAUCUCAGAUACCGAUGCUGAAAGAGAAACAGCAGCCUGUCCCCAAGUGGCAGGAAAUAGUCCAUUUUAACGGCAAUUUCAUAAGUGACAGAUGAUUUUUAUUGUAAUUUUCUGGUGAGCUGAUUAAGUGGAGGCAGAGUCAGUUCUGAGGCGUCAAUGUCUUUAAUAACUCGGGGAAACCGAGGCCACGCUCAGCGGGAACACUGAGUCCAUGGAAAACAGGCCCUGGGCCCACUGAUGUGCAUAAUUCCACGUUUGCCCCUCAUGUAACCAGGAUGGUAAAUUACAGGUGUCAGAUAAUCACGCUCUGGAGUGGCUACUUGAGGAUGCGAUCGACCAAUUUAAGCUCCGUCUGACACAUGAUCAAUAGCCCGUGAUGCUGCAUGGAAUUGCAGGCACAGUGUCCAAACCUGCAGAGCAGUGGCUCCCAGCUGGGGCAACUUUGCCCCCCAGAGGACACUUGGCAAUGUCUGGAUACGUUUGCAAUUGUCACAACUAGGAAAGGAGGUACCCAUAGGAUACACAGGAAAGUCCUCACACAGUUGUAUCCUGCCCAGACUGUCCGUAGAGCCAGGGUGAGAUGCUCUGACAGAGCCACAGUGAACAUUGCAUUCCAUCAUCUGGGUAUCUCCAGGAAUGUAUGUAGCUGGAUGUCUGGCUUUUCAUCUGGGUUUCACCAGCCUCAUGCAGAACUGAAACCAUGUGCAAAUCAGUUCUCAUACUUGCUCUCCUGCCUCCUUCCUAUUGUAAUUUUUUCUUCCCACCUUUUUUAUUGUUACUAGAGAAAUGAUGAAGAAAAAGAAGAGGCUGGAGAGUCACUCAAAAUUUUGUUUUCCUCAAUUAAAAAGAAGUAAUUUAGAAGUUACUCAAUGAUGUUUUCUUUAAUUAAAAAAAAAACUAGUUUGGGAAAGCAGAAAUUUAAUGAAGACAGAAAACACAGGUUUCAUGAAAAAGUUCAGCAUCCCAGGAAAGGAGCAAAGAGAAGUCUGCAGAUGAGAGUUGCUCAGUGUCAGGACUCAGAAAACAAUACCCCAAGAUAAUGUUCAAACCUGAGUGCUUUGAACAAAGGAUAUUGAAAGACCUCAGAAGAGGGCCUCAGAACUCACAUGUCUCUCUGACCUUCUCCUGUCUCUCCUUCACUUCCAAAGCAUGAUCUUUGGCCAGGGGAUCUCUCUGGGAUUCCCUUAUCUGCCUGAGGGAUGUACUUCCAAAAGAAAUGUGACUGGCAUGACCUCCUCCCUAGUAAUCUCUUCAAACAGCCGGGAAAGACUGGUCACCUGAGAGGAGAUUGGAAGUCCUCACUGCACUCAGAAAGGCUGUUGUCCAUUCUUCUAGAGACUUUAUCUGAAUAACAAGGCAACCUUUGUUUACCAUUCAGUUCCUCCCCUUUCCUUUCUAACUUGUCACCACCUCCCCCAAAAGCCUCAAGCCUCCACUCCUACAAGCUAUAAAGACUUCAACCAUC